rnacentral:ncRNA from 1 species
GCAAGUCAUAAGCUUGCGCUGAUUACGUCCCUGCCCUUUGUACACACCGCUCGUCGCUACUACCGAUUGAAUGAUUUAGUGAGGUCGUUGGAUUGGUGUCGUUGUAGUGGCGUUUCCUCUCGACUGAUGCUGAGAAGAUGACCUAAUUUGACUAUUUAGAGGAAGUUAAAGUCGUUACAAGGUUUCCGUAGGUGAACCUGCGGAAGGAUCAUUA